AAGAGAACGAUGUGCUGAGAGGGCUUUUUAUUGAUUUUCAAUUGAUUUAGCUCCUAUCUCUGGGCUUUCAGAUGCUCUCUCUUCCUAUUGAAAUUAGAUUUUACUUUUUGUUUUCAAGCUGAACUUGCAUGAUGCAAAAAAAAAAGACUAUCAGAGCCAGCGCUGGUGUAGCAAAUUGAGUGAGUUACUUUGAAGUUCAUACUAAGGGGCACUUUGUGUAACUCUAAGAGUCAAAGGAAGUUAUAGGAAAAGGGAAAAGAGAAAGAAAAUGGGAAUUGAAAAGAAGAGGUGCUGUGUAGCAUGACAGUAAGGAGACGAGUGGCUCAGGAUGCAUAUAGUGAAGACAACCUGAAUAAGACCCUGACAGGCCACCUGUGUGAUGAAACGACCUCCACCACCCACGAUCUCUGGGCGCUCAUGGAAGAUGAAUGUAAGUAACUGGAGAGUGCUCCUGAACACCGGGAAUGAAAACAUCCAUUGUCAGGGUUCAAAGCAGCCCUGCUCUCAGCUAGUCUUUGGAGAAGUGGACAAGAGAAGAGAAUAUUUUACUAUGAGCUGGACAGAAUGAUAAGUCACAGACAUCUCUGGGCCAGUGGUUCUCAGUGAACACCUUCAAGAUGGCAGGGACCUGAGAUGAGCCCUGGAUCCCGGAGCAAAGGGACCCUGAGCUGCUCCGGAGUGCUGGGAUUACUGGUGUGCGCCCCCACACCCGCCUUCUGUGACCUUGCUUCUAUUACUCCAAUAUGGAUGUGGCCCCUCAAUAAAAAUAAAAACAGGAAGAGGUUAUGGAGGAGGUCUCAUCUGCAGAGGAGUAGGAGAAAAGGCGAAGGAAUCACUCACUUCAAAUGAGAUUUACGAGAUGUACACAAUGGGAAACAGUGCAAAGUUUUGAUUUAACCGAAGUUGAGAGCCUUGAAACUAACAAGGGAACUGAUCAUGAUUACACGUGUAUACGG
rnacentral:lncRNA from 1 species